GCGGGUAUAGUUUAGUUGUAAAACCCUAGCCUUCCAAGCUAACGAUGCGGGUUCG
rnacentral:tRNA from 1 species